rnacentral:lncRNA from 1 species
GAAACUCUGAAAAAUUGUGUUUUAAAUUAUUCUAUGCAAGGCGAAAAAAGUAUGAAAUAUUUUACAUAAAACAUCCUUAAAUAAUUUAUCCAUGAUUGUUUCUGGGGGGCCUGUUUUCCAUGUAACUCCCAGAAUGGUAGGGAAAGGCAAGGCAUUCUCAUGUGGUCUUGAGGAAAGAGUCCAGAAAACCAGUGCAAGUACUGCCGUUUGGGAGUCAGCAGAUAGGAAGCACGUUGGAAGGCACCAGUAACAUCUGCUCACUUAGGAGGCCAGGGCCACUCCUCACAAAAUUCACUCAAGGUACAUGGACUCUGUACACUUUCCCCUACCUUUUAAGUAGGCUUCAAACCCAUGGGCACUACAUUCAAAACCUGUGAAGAUUCGAAGAGAUAGAAGCCAGGAUUAGAACCACAAAGACCAAAAGAUGACAUAGUAAAUUGUCUUUUUUCUCUCUCUCUCUCUCUCUCACAUUUCUGACUCAAGGGUAAUAAAACUAGCAACCUGAAAAUAGAUGCAAAAUUUCCAUGCCAAUAAACCUACUCUCUUUCUCCAAAGGACCAUGAAAGGCAUUUUAUAGUGAGACAGAAAAAACAUUAGACAGUAAUUUAUCUACUAUAACCAAAUAUCAUGGGAAGGGGUGCUGUGGUCUUAUGCCUCCUGGUGCUGGCAAAGUCUAAGUAGAAAGCCUAGGCUUUCAUCCACUUGAUAAUUUAAAGAAGCAGUCAAUGACCAGCAUUUGAGUAGUGCCACAAAGACCUCAUAGAUGACUGGUGGCUUUGAUUUCUGCAGGGUAGCAAUGAGUGCUCCCCUUUCCUCAGCCCUGAGGUGGAAGCAGAAAUCUUGUGGAUAACAGGAAAUUCCUCUUGCUCCAAGCCUUUAUCAAGGCAUCCAUUCCCAUUCAUGAAUUUCUAAAUUUUAUUUAUUUGUUUGUUUAUUUGUUUAUUUUAUUUAUUUAUUUUACUUAUUCACUUUUCAUCGCACUCACUGCUCACCUCCUGGUUACUCUCUCUCAUAAUCUUUCCCCCAUCCUUCUCCCCUUCUCCUCUGAGCAGGUGCCCCCACCUUCUCCUGUAUUACCUCUACCCUGGCACCUCGAAUUUCUGUGAGGCUAGGCACUUCCUCUCCUACUGAGGCCAUACAAAGCAGCCCAGCUAGAAGACAUAUCCCACUUACAGGCAGCUGCUUUUGGGAGAGCCCCCGCUACAGUUGUUCGGGACCCACAUGAAGACCAAGCUGCACAUCUGCUACACAUGUGCAGGGCGGCCUAAGUGCAGCCCAAGUAUGAUCUUUGGUUGGUGUUUCAGACUCUGAGAGUCCCAAGGGUCCAGGUUAGCUGACUUUGUUGGUCUUUCUGUGGUGUUCCUAUCUCCUUCAGUCCCUCAAUCCUCCCUGCCAACUCUCCCAUAAGAGUCUCCAAGCUCCAUCCAAUGUUUGGCUGUGGGUGUCUGCAUCUGUUGGAUCAGCUGCUUGGUGGAGCCUCCUAGAGGACAACUUGCUUCUGUCUGCAACCAUAACCAUCAUUAAUAAUGUUAGGGAUUGCUGCUUGCCAAUGGGAUGGGUCUCAAGUUGGGAUGAUUCUUAGUUGGCCAUUCCUUCAGUCUCUGCUCCAUCCUCCAUGCCUGCACUUCUUGUAGACAGGAUAAUUUGGGGGUUGAAGGUUUUGUGGGUGGGUUGGUGUCUCUAUUGCUCCACUGGGGUUCCUGCCUUCACAUUCCAUAUUCCCAAUGCAGUGAGUCACAACUAAGGCCACCCCAUUGAUUUUUGGGUGCUUCUCUUAUUCAAGGUCUCUGUCUUGUGGAUAGCUGGCCAUGAAAAUUAAUGGAAAUCAUGACUUCUUUUAAUUAAUAUUUUGCUUUGUUUUAUGUAUAUGGGUAUUUUGUCUACAUGUGUGUCUGUGACCACAUGCAUGCCUGGUGCCAUAAAUUCCAGAAGAGGGCAUCAAAUCUUCUUCAACUGGAACAAUACAUUUGGAGCUGCCUUGUGGGUGCUGGGAAUCUAACCUGUGUCCUCUGGGAAAAAAAAAGCCAGUGUUCUUAAAUGCUGAGCCACAUCUCUAGCCCCAAUUUUUAAAACUCUUAGAAAUGAAGAUAAAAUUAACUUGAUAAAGCAUAUCUACAAAACAAUUUACAGUUAAUGUUGUAUUUAAUAAUGAAUGACUGUAUAAAUUCAUUCUAAUUUCAGAAAAAGGUAACUGUGCUAUUCUCAUUAGAUUUAUUCAAGAGAAAUAAUAGUAUUCAAGACAAUAUAUAGUAACAUUUCAGUGAAAGGCAAGAAAAAUGAGGAAGAUACCUAUUUAAAAGAAUGAAAUAAAAACCAUCACAUUUAAAUAUAAGAUUGUUUUAUGAAUAGAGAAUACCAGGGAAUGUAUUCAUGUAUAAGAAGUAAAAUACAUGAGUUCAUUAAAAUGAUGAUAUAUACCAUGAAUAUUAGACAGGAAUCCCAUUCCUACUUCCUAGAGCAAACAGACACCAAGACUGGAAGUUUAAUCACAUUCCAUAGUCACAUUACCUUUGAUUCUGGGUUUCUGGACUUCAGAACUUUGAAAGAAUGGUUUUCUCUUACUAAGUUAUUAAGGUUUUGGUAAUUCUUUUUGGAAUCUCCAAGAAAAUAAUACAGUGCGUCCUAACAAAGGGACAAAAUAUAAUAUAUAUAUUUAUAUAUGAAGGAUGGCAUGAGUUCUCAGAAGGCAUGAUAUAGACUUUAUUUUGAAAAAUUAAUAAAACCCAUAUUAAAAAUGGAUAAUUUAAGAUUACCCAGAUUAGCUAUAUUAUACAUCUCUUAAAAUCAGAGACUGUUACCAGGAGAGUCCAUUGAGGUGAUGCCCCAAGGUGAUGAAAAGCAACAGUAAAAUAGAGGGGUUUCCUCACCCUGUACCUUCAUCCCCAGAAAACCUCUCUUCAAAUUAAAAAC